UCCAGAAUAAACACAGUCUCCUGACUCCUUGCUUUUAUUCCUGUAGAACGUAUUUUUGGACUUCUGACCUCCAGAAAGGUUGCACAACAUGGCUGGACAUACUUUGGGAUGUAAAAAGGAAUACAGAGCAAAAUUUUUGCUGUUGGUACAGAGGCUUCAGAUCAAAUUGACACUGCCCACUGGGAUCCCAAGAGGAUACUCAAAAUGGAGAGACUUGCCAUGGUCCCCAUUUGUGGUAAAGAAGUAAAAUACUUGGCCAGAAUCACCAAUUGCAGUUAGUGACUGAGCCAGACUCCUGAUAAUUGGUACUGCACUGUUUAAUAGCAGUAAAACAUUCAAAUCUCACCUCUCUCACCUCCUUUACAUCUUUGUUCAAAUGUUAAUUUCUCAGUUAGGCGAACCCUGAGGGUUUCAUUUAAAAUAACACUUCCUUCUCCAACCAUUCACCCUGUUCUGUGGCUCUUCACCGCAUUUACUCCUUUCUUUUCUUUUCUUUUCUUUUCUUUUUUUUUUUAAGUAUACUUUAAGUUCUGCCAUACAUGUGUAGAAUGUGCAGUUUUGUUACAUACGUUAUACAAUUUCUACGUACAUUAUACAAUUUCUAGUAUGUUACACAAUUUCUAGUAUGUUACACAAUUAACUUAUUUGUUGUGUUUCUAACUUACCCCUUGAUCCAGAAUGGAAGCUAGAGUAGAAAUAUUUUCGUCAGCUUUCUUUUCUUUUCUUUUC